rnacentral:antisense_RNA from 1 species
CUUCAGGGAUCCCAGCCACAGCGGCCUGUCCUCGGCCCGGUCCUUGCCGUAGGUCGCCAGCAGGGCGUCCGCCUC